GACGAACGCUGGCGGCGUGCCUAAUACAUGCAAGUCGAGCGAAGCGGCGGAUGGGUGGGUACCGCGUGGGUAACCUGCACUUAAGUCUGGGAUACCAUCUGGAAACAGAUACCAAUACCGGAUACUAAAGGAUGGACCGGGGAUGCAUUAGCUAGUUGGUAAGGUAACGGCUUACCAAGGCGAUGAUGCAUAGCCGAUUUGAGAGACUGAUCGGCCACAUUGGAACUGAGACACGGCCCAGACUCCUACGGGAGGCAGCAGUAGGGAAUCUUCCACAAUGGACGAAAGUCUGAUGCAGCAACGCCGCGUGAGUGAAGAAGGUUUUCGGAUCGUAAAGCUCUGUUGUUGGUGAAGCGGUAAUCAACCAGAAAGCCACGGCUAACUACGUGCCAGCAGCCGCGGUAAUAC
rnacentral:rRNA from 1 species